UUAAUACUCCGUCCGUCCCAGAAUUAUGUCUUAGAUUUGUCUAAAUACGUAUGUAUCUAGUUGUGUUUUAGCGUUAGAUACAUCUAUAUCUAGACAAAUCUAAGACGAGAAUUUUGGGACGGAGGGAGUAUGAU
rfam:Hordeum vulgare subsp. vulgare, WGS project CAJW01000000 data, contig: morex_contig_2547848